CAGCCGCCGCGGUAAUACGUAGGUGGCGAGCGUUGUCCGGAAUUACUGGGUGUAAAGGGAGUGUAGGCGGGACUUCAAGUCAGGUGUGAAAUCUAUGGGCUCAACCCAUAGCGUGCACUUGAAACUGUAGUUCUUGAGUGAAGUAGAGGCAAGCGGAAUUCCUAGUGUAGCGGUAAAAUGCGUAGAUAUUAGGAGGAACACCAGUGGCGAAGGCGGCUUGCUGGGCUUUUACUGACGCUGAGGCUCGAAAGCGUGGGGAGCAAACAGGAUUAGAUACCCUGGUAGUCCACGCCGUAAACGAUGAUUACUAGGUGUGGGGGAGUUGACCUCUUCCGUGCCGGCGCUAACGCAAUAAGUAAUCCACCUGGGGAGUACGACCGCAAGGUUGAAACUCAAAGGAAUUGACGGGGGCCCGCACAAGCAGUGGAGUAUGUGGAUUAAUUCGAUGCAACGCGAAGAACCUUACCAGGUCUUGACAUCAAGUGACCGCCUUGGAAACAAGGCCUUCCCUUCGGGGACACGAAGACAGGUGGUGCAUGGCC
rnacentral:rRNA from 1 species